rnacentral:lncRNA from 1 species
AUUGUUGUAAUCUAUUCGUUAGCAUCAAUUGUUUUUUUUUAAAGCGAUAGGUAGCAUACUAUCUGCUUCUUUUAUUUUAUUUAAAAAUAAAUUUAGUUGAAAAUGUGAAUCAAUUAAAAUGGAGUUGGGAUAAAAGUAUAUAAAGAUAUGAUUCUGCGUUUUUCAAUGGGACCGUAAAAAAUAUAUCGUAACCGACUCAUAAUAACAUGCGGUUUUUUAUCGUACUUUCUCCGUACGUAACGUAUCGCACGUAACAUAAUUUUUUUAUAAUUCCAAACAAAGUCUUAGUCAACUACAAUAGACGCGGUGGCGGUAUAUAUUAGUUGACAUUUUCUUAUAUAUUCUUUG